UGUCCUUCAACAACAGAAUUAAAUACACGUGUAAGAAUACUUAUAAAUACAUUGAUAAUUAAAGCGACGUGCACCAGCUAGUAUUGCUCGAAAACAGUACCCCUAGCUAAGGCUAAGGGUUAACCCAUGCGAAUCUCAAAGCGGCACACAAGUAGUACUGUUUAAUUAGCAGUACAGUUCGGAUAUAAAAAUCAUUUCAACUUAUUUUAUUUAAUUUUAUCAUUAUAAUUUUCAUAAAUUUCUAAAUAAAAUAAAAUAAAUAAUUUAAUUUUUUAGAUAAUUUUA